GUCUGUAUGGUGUAGUGGUUUGAGCAUUACUGGACUAUUACUCUGGAGACCAGGGUUCAUAUUCCCACUCAGACA